UAUAGAAUGAAAUUGGGCGAAAACAAGAGGGCUUUCACAUUAAUGAACAAAAUUCACAAAACACAAUUAGACGAAACUCAUAGUUAAAACGUCGAAUUCCCUUCUUGCCACAACCAAAGAACCCUAAACACUGAUAUACAUAACUAAAUCGAAACAUAGUCUAAGCCUUUUUGGGAGACUUGCUCGCCUUGGAAGGAGAUUUUGGUUCCUUAGAAGCCUUCUCGGUCUUCUUAGGCAACAAAACAGGGUUUAUGUUAGGCAGCACACCACCGUGAGCAAUUGUGACUCCGGCAAGCAAUUUCCCCAAUUCAUCGUCGUUCCUCACAGCCAAAAGCACAUGUCUGGGAAUAAUCCUGUUCUUCUUGUUGUCCCGUGCGGCAUUUCCAGCCAAUUCAAGAACCUAAACAGUCGAAUCCACAACAAAAUACAGUCAAUUACCACAACACAAAAAAGAACCCCGGUUAGAAAUAAUUGAUUCAUGCAAAUGAUGCUAAGUUACCUCAGCGGCUAGGUAUUCCAGAACAGCAGCCAGAUAAACAGGAGCACCGGUUCCCACACGCUGAGCGUAUCUUCCUUUUUUCAAGUAACGGCCAAUUCUACCAACAGGGAAUUGGAGACCAGCCCUCACAGACCUUGUGACCGGCUUCUUUUUUGGCCCACCACCCUUUCUUCCUCCGGCACCCUUCUUAAUCUUUCCACCGCCGUCCAUGUCGAAACCCUAGAAAUUAGAUGCGCUUGAAAAAAAAAAGGAAGAGGGAGCAAGAAAUCAGAAAGGUUAGGAGUGUGCUGUUAAGAAGAUGCGUUGACACCGUGUUAUAGAUAUAGUUUUCCUCGCUCAAGUUCUCAUUAAAAGGAUACCGUUUUCGCGCACGUAUCCGCCGUUGGAUUGGAUUUAAUCUACGCUUAACGAUUCUCUAUGUGGCGAUCCGUGUUUUUCUACUUGACCAAUCAGGUUAUGUUUUGUCAGCGUCCAUUUCUUUUCUUUGUUAUUUAUAUAUGUCUAUUUCUUUUCUUUGUUAUUUAUAUAUGUCUAUUUCUUUUCUUUAUUAUUUAUAUGUGUCUAUUUCUUUUCUUUAUUAUUUAUAUAUGUCUAUUUCUUUUAUUUAUUAUUCAUAUGUAAGGAUUGGUAGACUUUUUUUAUAAUUUUAUCCUUUUAAGUAAUUAUUAUUUUUACUUUUACGUUUCAAAGAAAUAUUAAUUUAAAUUUAAUUAAUUUUAAAAUAAAAAUAUUAUUUUACUAUUUAAAUAUUUUAAAUUAAUAUUUAUUUAAAUUCAGUUGUUGUUUUUGAUUAAAUUAAUUAUUUGUAGUAAGAAAAUGUUACCAAUAUAUUCAUAGUAUAUGUGUACAAAACCUUUCUUUUGCGCAAGAAGGUGAAUGCCUUGUUCAAAAGUUUGAAAAAUCGGGAAGAUAGGUUUAAAGUUGCCAUGAAGGACGACUCAAAUCGCUCUAUUUUGCGUAACAGGUUGAGACAAAGUGUAAGGAUAUGACAAUGUUUAUGAAUGAAUUGGUUGUGAUAUCAUUUAUGGGUGGAGAUAUGUGGUUAUGAUUCGUUAGAUUUGCGUUUAAUGUUCUAUUUCUGUGUUAUAUGUUGUGAUGUUAUUUUUGUUCACCCUACCAUGUUUGUGGUUGUGGUUUCCACCUGCAAUGAUCGUACUUAUACAUAAGUGAAUAGUGUUGCACAUGAUACUGGAGUGCAGUAGUUUGACGAAAAGGAAAAUUAGUUUUUCUAAGAUUUUAUUGAUUUUGUUAUUUAAAUUUUCUUUUCAAAUUUGAUGUUUUGGUAAAGGUUAUUUUUUGUAUUUUUUUGCAUUUUGUAAGAACAAUGUUUAUGAUUUGUGAUUUUUGUUUCUAUAGUACUAUUAAAAUAAAGUAUAUUCUUUAUCUGAAUAGAUCGAUUUUAUAGUAAGCUAUGUAAGGAUAGUAUAAUUUUGUUUCAUACAUGACAUCCGAUUAGGGUACUACAAUGUUUUCCUAUUAUUCCCUUUAAAAAUGAAAUCAUAUGCGAAAAAUAAAUACAAAUACACUCUAUAUAAGCGGUUCUUUUUAUGUUAUGGAUGUAGUUUUCUUUUAAUUAUUUCUAAAACAAAAACUCCUAAAAAAUAUUUAAACAUAUGUAUUGAAAAUAGAUAAUACUUAAAUUAUAAACUAAUAACUAUAAUGUCAAUUUCUCUUGCUUGUAAUGUCUGUGUAAGAUUUUAACUUAAUUCUUAUAUUAUGUGAGUUUGAAAUAAUGAAUAUUUGGAUUACGAAUUUUAUUACAUUCGUCCUUAUUAAAAUUUUAUAAAUUUUCCUCAACUUCACAAAACUUUUUAGUCAAUGAAAUAUUUCAAUUGUUCAAGUUCUAUCUUAUCAAGUUUACGCAUCAUAAAACAUUUAAGUUCUUCGACCAUCUUCUCAUUUUUGUUACUAAAACCAAUAUCAUUAACAUACAAACACACAACCAACAUUUUACCUUUAUUUUUUACUUCAAUACCUUGAAAUCUUCUUAAUCAAAUAAAUAAUUAAUAAGACUAUACGUGAUUCAUGGUGUUUACUUCAAUCCAUAUAAAGCAUAUUGCUUAGCUUAUAAGCUGUCUAUUUGAUGCAAGUGGUUGAUUAGUAAAAAUAUAUUGAUUAAAUUAUCUAAGAAUAAGGUAGAGUUAAUAUUUAGUUUUAGCAAGUGAAAUCAUUAAACAUCUUUUUUUCAUGUGUGACAAACACAAAAAACUCAUAAUAAUUUAUAUUAAAAAAAUUUAUAUUUUUUUUUAAUGAGACUUGUUUCAUAUUAUUCUUCAUCAUCAUUUUUAUUUGUUUUUAAUUUAUAUAUCCAUUUCACAACAACCAUUUAUUAUCUUGUAACUCAAUUAAUUUUGUAACUAAUUUUUUAGAUUUGGUAUUGACCAUAAUGUUAGGUUUACACAAGAAACCAAACAAUUAAUUACAUAAUGCAUCGAAUAGUCCAACUUUCAUAGAAAUACUAUCUAUACUAAUUAACUUAGAGAAUGUAUGAUUACCAAUAAUUAGAUUAUAAUUAGAGCAUAGUUAAUACAAAGUUCAUUUCAAAAAUUAUAAAUAUAAGUUUUAAGUAAAAGAUAAGUGAUAGAAAGAUUUAGACCUUAAAACAUACAUAAGAGAACAAACAUCAACACCGUAACCAAAACAUGUUUGAUUUUAUAUUAAUUUUAACUAUUAACAUACUUUCGUAAAUUUUACUUUCAAAACCUUAAAUCUUAUAUGAAAGUUGGCUCAUUUGUCAUAAACAUGACAGUUUGUUGAAUAUUUUCCCUUAUAAAACCACGCAUUCAAGUUGGUUGUCUUCUCAUCUUGCAUUCUCAUGAAUGGGAGGCGUAGAGAUCUCUCUUGGAUGAUAACUGAGUUUCAGUUAACAGGUAAGCUGCAAGAAAUAAGAUCCUGAAUAGGUUAGAAGAACCUUAAUGGGUUGGAAAGCAGCAUCUUUUCACCACAAUACGUAUACAAAUGAUGAGUUUGGCAACAUGCGCCAUGAACUAUCGAGUGUGUUUUCUGAUGAUUACUUACAUGUCAUUAGGUGUUCGCUCGGUAAUUCCACUUGCCCAUUUUCGAUCUUUACUUCUUAAGGGCUUAAAGGAAAUAAAAUGCACGAAAACAUGCGUCACCCAUUAGACACAAUUCACAUAUAAUACAUCAAUUUGUAGCAGGUUGCAGAUCACGAGCAAUAAACAAAAUCUUUGUUCACAACCGACAGUAACCAACUCCACAGAUUUUUUUGCCAUCAUCAAGUCUCCUCGUAACAAGAAGCCUAUGAGUCAUUUCAGAAUACAUUUCAGAGCAAUGCAGUCAGUUCGUAUAUUCAUAGGAAUAAUUAAAAUCCUCAAACGACCAUUACUUGAAUUAAAUAAAAAACAGAGCCCACUAAAAAUCAGAUUAAACCACUAAUUGCGCAAGGAAAAUGGCAAACAACAUUCUAUAAUCUUUUAUGACUUCUCAACCCACUACGCUAGGAAUUAAUUUCAAUGUAUCGAAAAGGUAAAAAAAAUAGCAAAAAUAAAUAAACAGAUACGAUGGGAGAAAAUUGGGCGAAAACAAGAUGGUUUUCAUGUAAUGAACAAACUUCUUGGAGUACACAACUAGACCAAACUUCAGUGUUUCAAACAACAAAUUCCUUUCUUGAUACAACCAGAGAACCCUAAACACUGAUUUACAGAACUAGAUUAAAUUAUGGUUUAAGCCUUCUUGGGAGACUUAGUGGCUUUGGAUGGAGAUUUUGGUUCCUUGGAAGCCUUCUCAGUCUUCUUAGGCAACAAAACAGGGUUUAUGUUAGGCAGCACACCACCGUGAGCAAUUGUGACUCCAGCAAGCAAUUUCCCCAAUUCCUCGUCGUUCCUCACGGCCAAAAGCACAUGUCUGGGAAUAAUCCUAUUCUUCUUGUUGUCACGAGCAGCAUUUCCAGCCAAUUCAAGCACCUACACAAUCAAAUCCACACCAAAACACAAUUUAUUGCCACAUCACAAAUUUAACCACAGUUAACAGGAACUGAAUGAUGCAGUUAAUGCUAAGUUACCUCAGCAGCUAGGUAUUCAAGAACAGCAGCCAAAUAAACAGGAGCACCGGUUCCGACACGCUGAGCGUAUCUUCCCUUUUUCAAGUAACGCCCAAUUCUUCCAACGGGGAAUUGGAGACCAGCCCUGACGGACCUAGUGACCGGCUUCUUCUUUGGCCCACCGCCCUUUCUUCCUCCGGCACCCUUCUUGAUCUUUCCACCGGUGUCCAUGUCGGAACCCUACAAAUUAACUCCGCUUGAACAAUGAGAGGGGAGAGAGGAACGAGAAAGAUUAAGAGUGUUGUGAAGAAGAUGC
rnacentral:lncRNA from 1 species